AUUUUAUAUAUAAAGUUGGCUAACUCUCUCUAUCCUUCUCCCAUGUCAUCGGAGAGAAUGUCACUUAUAACAUCAGUUUGAU
rnacentral:sRNA from 1 species